AGAACAUAUGUCUUACCCACAGCAAGCACUUAAAAGAUAAAUGUUGAAUGAGGGAGAGUACAUGUGAACAACUGUGGAUGCCAGAUGAGAAAACUGAAGUCAGUGACUUGCACAUGGCACACAGCCAUUAAGCAUCCAAGGUGAAUGAGUAUCAGAGAUGGAACAACCGCACGAGCUUCAAUGAGUCAAAAGAAACACUAGAGGCUCAGCAGUGCCAGGCAUCCAUAGCAGAGGCUGCUAGCUGCUGCAGCUAGUGAGUCUGGCCAGUGAGCCAAAACAGCCCUGAUGACGAGGAAUGUGAUUGAUCCAGUCCAGCCACACUUGCUGUGUUCUUGCUGAGAAGUGAACUUGGUGGAAGGAAGUUUUUCUAACUACCACUUUAUGAAGGCAGCUAGGUGGUACAGUGAAUAAAGCACUGGCCCUGGAUUCGGGAGGAUCUGAGUUCAAAUCUGGAUUCAAACACUUACUAGCUGUGCGACCCUGAGCAAGUCACUUAACCUUCAUUGCCCCGCAAAAAAAAAUAGCUAGUACCCAUUCUAACUACCACUUUAUGCUUCAAUCCAUAGUACAACUUGUU